CCUACGGGAGGCAGCAGUGAGGAAAGUGGUCAAGGGGCGGAAGCCCGAACCAGUCAAGUAGUGUGAGGGAGGAAGGUCCUACGGGUCGUAAACCGCUUUUGCACGGGGAUAACACCCUCCACGUGUGGAGGUCUGCAGGUACCGUGCGAAUAAGGGCCGGCUAAUUCCGUGCCAGCAGCCGCGGUAAUACGGAAGGCCCGAGCGUUAGCCGGAUUCAUUGGGCUUAAAGGGAGCGUAGGCGGGCGUUCAAGUCAGCUGUAAGAUCGCGCGGCUCAACCGCGCCCCGCAGUUGAAACUGGACGCCUUGAGUUCACGACAGGCAGGCGGAGUUCGGGGUGGAGCGGUGAAGUGCAUAGAUAUCGCGGGGAACCGCGUGUGCGGGGGCAGCCUGCCGGGGUGCGACUGACGCUGGGGCUCGAGGGUGCGGGUAUCAAACAGGGUUAGAUACCCCAAGUC
rnacentral:rRNA from 1 species